AGAAUCUUCAAUGAGAUAUUAGAUUCAGAUCUGAUUAUCAUCGGCCUUCACCACUUUCGUCGUCAAUCACCAACACCAUCGUCACCGCCGCUCUAAUCACCACCAGUAAUCAUCGUUCAGCACUUCCACCGUCAAUCACCAACACCACCGUCAUGGAUUCAGAUCUAAUAAUCGUCGUUCACCGUUACAACCGCCGCUUUAAUUACCACCUGUAAUCGCCCCUUUUUUACAUUCAUUCGAUUUAUUGGCGAGAAAAACAAACAAUUUAAGGUCUGAUUUUUGGUUUCAUAGUUAUGGCGAGCUGGAAUAUUAGCAUGGAAACGGGCUUUGAAAUUUAGUUGUUUGUUAAUAUUCAAAUAUAAGAUAUAGAUUUUGCGCCGCCAUUUUUGAUUGGUUUACUUGGCCAGUUGCGUCGCUGCGGCCAUUACGUCACAAAGGCUACUGAUAUAAGGUACAGUAGUGGUUGCUUGCUGGUAGAGCAAGAGCUCUUAUCGGAGUUGACUCUAAUUUGGUUAAUGGAAGUCACCUCUCUCAAAAGGAAACUCGCUGAAUUUGGUACUUUCUUGGCCAAGGUUAAGGUUGAAUGGUCAAAAUGGUGAGGGAAGUAGGGUCUUUAACGAGAUAUAAGAAUGGAUGUUGUGGUAUGUUGAUGUAUGUAGGUGAAUAACUAUGUAUUUAGGCUGUUAAAAAAAACCAUGUAUGUAUUGAGAAUGCAUCUAAGCCAAGCUCAAGAAAGCAGCUCAAUGCCUCAAGAAAGCUGCCGAACGUAUAGGCAUGUAGAUGGAAAAUGAUUUUUUUUUUUAACUUUAAAACAUUGGAUCGAGGGUUGGAAAAUGUCAUGUAGAUUGAAAAUGUUUUUUUUUAA